UCAGUGUCUCUUCCUCUUGUCCUAGCUGCCUGUGGAAAGAAAGGCUUCUUCUUCCAACAGAUGAGUAUUCUGCAGUGUGUGGGGAGCUGGCAAUGUGAUGAGGGGAACGGGAUUCUAGAUGAACUACUCCACUCUGAAGAUCCUAUGACUUUAUCCACUGGCAAGAAGUUUGAAUAAAGGCCCUUCUUUUACUCUUUCAUGCCAGCCCUUGAAAGAGGCCUAACCAAGGCUCUAAAGAAAUUGGAUGACUACCUGAACACCCCUCUACCAGAGGAGAUUGACGCCAACACUUGUGGGGAAGACAAGGGGUCCCGGCGCAAAUUCCUGGAUGGGGAUGAGCUGACCCUGGCUGACUGCAAUCUGUUGCCCAAGCUCCAUGUGGUUAAGACCCACCUUCUCACUUCCUCCAGCAGCUUCCUAAGAUUGUGGCCAAGAAAUACCGCAACUAUGAUAUCCCGGCUGAGAUGACAGGCCUGUGGCGGUACCUCAAGAACGCCUAUGCCCGUGAUGAGUUCACCAACACCUGUGCAGCUGACAGUGAGAUCGAGUUGGCCUACGCUGACGUCGCCAAACGCCUCAGCCGAUCCUGAGCACAGCCAUUUUGCCCCAUCC
rnacentral:sRNA from 1 species